CUACGGGCUGCAGCAGUAAGGAAUAUUGCGCAAUGGAGGCAACUCUGACGCAGCCAUGCCGCGUGCAGGACUGAAGGCCUUAUGGGUCGUAAACUGCUUUUAUUUAGGAAUAAACUCUUGUACGUGUACGAGACUGAAGGUACUAAAUGAAUAAGCACCGGCUAACUCCGUGCCAGCAGCCGCGGUAAUACGGAGGGUGCAAGCGUUAUCCGGAUUUAUUGGGUUUAAAGGGUGCGCAGGCGGACUAUUAAGUCAGAGGUGAAAUCCCGGAGCUCAACUUCGGAACUGCCUUUGAUACUGGUAGUCUUGAAUACGGUUGAAGUAGGCGGAAUGUAGCAUGUAGCGGUGAAAUGCAUAGAGAUGCUACAGAACACCGAUCGCGAAGGCAGCUUACUAAGCCGAUAUUGACGCUCAGGCACGAAAGCGUGGGGAGCGCACAGGAUUAGAUACCCCAGUAGUC
rnacentral:rRNA from 1 species